rnacentral:rRNA from 1 species
UACGAAGGGUGCGAGCGUUGUUCGGAAUUACUGGGCGUAAAGGGCGCGUAGGCGGCCCCUUUUGUCGCGUGUGAAAGCCCCGGGCUCAACCUGGGAGGUGCGCGCGAAACGGGGGGGCUUGAGUUCGGGAGAGGAGCGUGGAAUUCCCAGUGUAGAGGUGAAAUUCGUAGAUAUUGGGAAGAACACCGGUGGCGAAGGCGGCGCUCUGGACCGAGACUGACGCUGAGGCGCGAAAGCGUGGGGAGCAAACAGG